rnacentral:misc_RNA from 1 species
AACUUUUGGCAAUGGAUCACUCCACCCUCUAUAACUUUCGACAACGGAUCUCUUGGCUCUCGCAUCGAUGAAGAACGCAGCGAAAUGCGAUAAGUAAUGUGAAUUGCAGAUUUUCAGUGAAUCAUCGAAUCUUUGAACGCACCUUGCGCUCCUUGGUAUUCCGAGGAGCAUGCCUGUUUGAGUGUCAUUAAAUCCUCAACCCCACCGAUUUGCUUCGGGGGGAUUGGACUUGGAGCGUGCUGGCGAAGGUCGGCUCCUCUUUAAAUGCAUCAGUGGAGAGAAACUUGCCCCAGUGUGAUAAUCCUGUUGCGCUGUGGUGGGCGAAAGUCUGCUUCCAACCGUCCUUUGCGGGACAGACAUCUCAAUUUGACCUCAAAUCAGGUAGGACUACCCGCUGAACUUAAGCAUAUCAAUAAGCGGAGGCU